GGUAGCUCAGUGGUGGAACAUCUGCUUUGCAUGCAGAAGGUUCCAGGCUCAGUCCCUGGCAUCUCCA